UUCGAAAAAGAGAGGUUUGUUGCUUCUGAAUUCAUUGUAUUAAUUCCACUUCCUACUCGUAGUAUGCUCUUAAUGAUCCCGGCUCAUGAUUUAAUUGCCAUGUAUUUAGCUAUUGAGCUUCAAAGUUUAUGUUUUUAUGUGAUCGUAGCAUCAAAAAGAAAGUCUGAAUUUUCCACGGAAGCCGGCUCAAAAUAUUUGAUCUUUGGUGCAUUUCCCUCUGGAAUAUUAUUGUUCGGGUGCGACCGGACUACUAUCGAUCAAUUUUUUGGAACUUAUUUGUAG
rnacentral:rRNA from 1 species